GAUGAAGAACGCAGCGAAAUGCGAUAAGUAAUGUGAAUUGCAGAAUUCAGUGAAUCAUCGAAUCUUUGAACGCACAUGGCGCCCGCCAGUAUUCUGGCGGGCAUGCCUGUCUGAGCGUCAUUUCAACCCUCAUGCCCCUAGGGCGUGGUGUUGGGGAUCGGCCAAAGCCCGCGAGGGACGGCCGGCCCCUAAAUCUAGUGGCGGACCCGUCGUGGCCUCCUCUGCGAAGUAGUGAUAUUCCGCAUCGGAGAGCGAUGAGCCCCUGCCGUUAAACCCCCAACUUUCCAAGGUUGACCUCAGAUCAGGUAGGAAUACCAGCUGAACUUAAGCAUAUCAAUAAGCGGAGGA
rnacentral:misc_RNA from 1 species